UUGUGGGAAAGCCAGAAUUCCUUUAAGUCCACCAGGAACAAGAAAUUACAUGCUGAAGGUCAGAGACACAACUUCCUGCAGCCAUAAGAGUAAUAAUAGUUGCUGCUAUUUACACCAUAUUUUGCUGGCCUGCUUAAGUCAGAUCCUACUCCAGAAAUGUUAGCCCGCCUUGGUUUUAUGAGUAAUAAAGAAAGGCUGGUCAGGGCCUGUCAGAAUCUUCAUGACUUAGUGUACAUCUAUGUCUCUUCCAUCAACGCAAUCUUCC